rnacentral:rRNA from 1 species
UGGGGAAUAUUGGACAAUGGGCGCAAGCCUGAUCCAGCCAUGCCGCGUGAGUGAUGAAGGCCCUAGGUUUGUAAAGCUCUUUCACCGGUGAAGAUCAUGACGGUAACCGGAGAAGAAGCCCCGGCUAACUUCGUGCCAGCAUCCGCGGUAAUACGAAGGGGGCUAGCGUUGUUCGGAUUUACUGGGCGUAAAGCGCACGUAGGCGGACUUUUAAGUCAGGGGGGGAAUCCCGGGGCUCAACCCCGGAACUGCCUUUGAUACUGGAAGUCUUGAGUAUGGUAGAGGUAAGUGGAAUUCCGAGUGUAGAGGUAAGAUUCGUAGAUAUUCGGAGGAAGACCAGUGGUGAAGGCGGCACACUGGACCAUUACUGACGCAGAGGUGCGAAAGCGUGGGGAGCAAACAGG